AUUGAACGCUGGCGGCAUGCCUUACACAUGCAAGUCGAACGGUAACGCGGGGCAACCUGGCGACGAGUGGCGAACGGGUGAGUAAUGCAUCGGAGCGUGCCCAGUAGUGGGGGAUAGCCCGGCGGAAGCCGGAUUAAUACCGCAUACGACCUACGGGUGAAAGCGGGGGACCGUAAGGCCUCGCGCUAUUGGAGCGGCCGAUGUCAGAUUAGGUUGUUGGUGGGGUAAAAGCCUACCAAGCCGACGAUCUGUAGCUGGUCUGAGAGGACGACCAGCCACACUGGGACUGGGACACGGCCCAGACUCCUACGGGAGGCAGCAGUGGGGAAUUUUGGACAAUGGGGGCAACUCUGAUCCAGCCAUGCCGCGUGCGGGAAGAAGGCCUUCGGGUUGUAAACUGCUUUUGUCAGGGAAGAAACGCUCUGGGCUAAUACCCCGGGGUAAUGACGGUACCUGAAGAAUAAGCACCGGCUAACUACGUGCCAGCAGCCGCCGUAAAAC
rnacentral:rRNA from 1 species